GCUUGGCUCUUUAAUGACUUACAUGCUUCCCUGUCACUCUGGACUGCUUACCUUCAGAUUUCUUUUAUGUGAAAGAGAAGUAAGCUUCUGUCUUGUGUAAGUCACUGUUAUUGUUGGGCUUUCUGUUACUCACAGUCAGAGCUCAUUCCAAGUGAUGCAGGUGCAAGUAACUGAAUACCUGAAAGCAAGAAGACGUUUUAAUUAUCUCCUUUAACCAAUCUGAAAAGAGAAGGUUCCGCAGGUUCCUCCAUUGUUGAUGGUUGCGUCUGCAGCCUGGAUCACUGUCUCUGCGGUUCUCCCGGUCACAGGGUGGGCUCAGCAGCUCCAAACAUGUCCUCACACAGCAGCAAUAUUCCAGGCAGAAGGAUGAAGAUGGGCUGAUAGGCGAUAGGAAUGCUCCUCACACAGCUGUCCUGAUACCUUGGGAAAAACCCUUCCCAGAAGCAGCCAAACUGAUUUCCCUUGGUAUCUCAUUGGCUAGACCCUAGCUGUAAGGGAUGCUGGGAUGAGGAGCCUGGAUUUUCCGCCUCUGUAGUGAGAGGCAGGUGAAGGUCUUUCCCCACUGGCACGUCUUGCAAGAAGGAAGACAGGAGAGCUGGAGCCAGAGAGCUGGGCUCUUGCUGGAGCCCUGAUGGACAGCACAGUUACUGAGGAUUUCAUGAGACAAGUCAGGCGCCUCUAAUUCCUGGCUCCAGGGAGAGCCUGUCUCUAUACCUGGAUGGCGCUAACUAUUUAUGAAGUGCAUCUUGUCCCUCCUGAGCAUCCGUUUUGCUUCUCUCGGCACCAGCCCCUCAGGAAAUUCCCAGCAGACCCUCAGCGUGUGCUGCAGAGUGAUGCCUCCUCAGCUCGACUGCAGACAUCCUUCCAGCAGGGGACUCUUUCUAAGCCCUAAACCCUAAACGGGCUUCAUUUCAGUGCUUUUGUUAACACUCUCUGCAGGGGAUGGGAGGGGACAGAGGUGGGUGCAGCGGUGGAGGAAGGGGCUGGGACUCCCUGUGGAGGAGGUGCCACUUAGUUCUGGGUCCCUGGAGUCCCCGGACACUGCGGCAGACAGUGCAAAAUGAGCCUGCAUCUGUCUGCCCAAGUCUCUGAGGGGUCUUGCCUGUCAGUCUGUGGGCCAGCUCCGCACCUUAUUUCUCAAUCAGCAUCUCCAGUGCCUGGUGGGCUGGGCUGGUGGGGGAUAUGAUGGUCAGGAUGCCCUGUGAAAGAAGGCCUGUAAUCCUUGCGAUGUGGAGAUUCAGCAUGGGCUGUGGGGUUCCUUCCUUUUGCUCGUGCUCUGCCCACAUGUGGUCACUGAGCACCUAUUUCCUACCAGGCUCUGGGUCAGCCCUUGGGGACUCGGUGGUGGACAGGAAACACCUGCCCUGCCCCUCCCAUCCCCUUGCUGAGGCACUGCCGUGUCUCUCAGCUGGAUUAUGGCAAAGCAGAGCAAGCCUGCGGCGAAACAGACAGACUAUAGAGCCAGACACCCGGGUUGGCUCUCAGCUCUGCCUUGUCUCUGCCUGGUAACUUUGGGCAAAUAACUUUCCCUCUCUGUGCCUCAGUGUUCUCAUCUGUAAGAUGGGGAUAAUCAUCUUACCUAGAUUAUACAGUUGUCAUAAAGUUUAAUAGAUUGGUGAUUGUAAAAGAGCCUGGAGCAGGGCCUGGAACCUGGUAAUUAAAUACAGUAAUCGAAUAAUAAAUAACAUUAUCCUGCUGCUUUUUGUGUCACUCUCUUCUAAGCCAUUCUAUGCAUUCUAUACCCAUUUGAACUACCUAGAGGAUAGGUUUGAUCAUGAUAAAAUCGGUCAAGGACUUCUUUGUUUGAAGUCCAAACUUUUGCAUGACCUUCAGAUCCCUGCUUUUCUAUCCUCCUGCCCAUUGCAUUUCCUCACUGUAUCCCCACGCCCACUCCUCAUCCCUGUCAGCCUUGCAGCCAUCCACGUGGUCUGCCAUGUGCUAAACCUGCUGUACUUUCUCAUACCCUGCUUCACCUGGGGACCUUUCCUCUUCCCUCUUUACCUCCUGGGAGACCUGCAUGGGUCCUUAAAGAAGAGGUUCAAGUAGAGGUUUGUGUUUGAAGGUAGAAGCCUUCCAUCAUUUCCCUCAUGUGUUUGUUGGUAGAAGCCUUCCCCCAUUUUUCCUUCCCUAACCGAAGCCAACCUCCCUCUUGCCUGCGCCCCAUCGACUGUCUACCUGGGUCUGCUGCGUUGGGCAGUGUUUUGUAGUCAUCUGAGCAAGCGCCUGUCUUCCAUCAAACCCUGGCCAUACUGACUUCCUCUCUGAGUGGUCUUAGCAAAUGGUGGUUGAAUGAAUGAAUAAACCAGGUGCUUGAUGAACAGCUGUUAGACUAGAAUGAAGAAGCAGGUGACCUCAUUUCAGCUUUACAACUACCCCUGAUGCAAGAGGGGAAACACUCAGAGCUAGUUGGGAAAGACCUGCUGCUUGGCACUGUCGGUGACUACUGGCUGGCCCCUGGAUGGGCUGCCAGUAAGGCCCAGAUCUGUCUGACCCCUGGGACAGGGCUCAUUCCCCCUACCCCUUUAGCACAAGUUCUUUGCCUGGGAAGAAUAGACUGAUGGGCGCAAAAUGUUGUCUUUUCCAAAGAUGCCUGCCAUAGUAUCUCCAUGCAGUAUGCUCUUCUGUGACUUUACCCACUUCCCAUCUGGAGGUGGACUCCUAUCCUGCUUGCUUUGGAUCUGGGCUGAGCUUGGGCCUGCUUGACCAACAGAAUGCAAUGAAAGUGAUGUACCAAGACUUCCAAGAGGAGGCCGUAAGAAGCCUUGCAGGUUCUGCCUGGCUUCCUUGGAUGUGAUGUGCCCUCUAGGAAGCCAGUGGCCAGGCUAUGAGAUGGCCAGACCACGUGGAGAGGCCACGUGUGGGUGCUCCCAUGGAUGACAGCCCAGGCACGUGAGGGAGCCAUCUGGGCUGUCCCAGCAGUCAGACCUUCAGAUGACUUCAGCCCCAGAGGACAUCUGACUGAAGUCCCAUCUGGGACCUGGAGUGGGUACUGCCCAGCUGGGCCCAGUGCAUCCACAGGAACAUGAGAGGUGAUGAUAGACACAGGCUUGUUUUUGGUCACCAAGCUUUGGGGUGGCAGUUAGAUUAACAAACCACUGGACUCAGUGCCAGCUGGAGGAGGACGAAGACAUGAUGCUGAGCCCUGUCUCCGGGGACAACUCUGGGGGGCCUCUGGCCUAGAGUUCUCAGGAUGUGAAGGGACUAUAGGUGGGACUCAUUUGAUCCUCAGAGCCACCUUAGACUCUACAGACUGCCCUGAGGCAAAAGUAAAGGGAGGGUUGGGAUGACCUUAGGCUGUAAGAAAUAACCAGAGUAUAAUGCAUUCUGCCCCAGCCCUUUCUCUGUCCACUCCUCCAGGAAAAUGGCCUAGGUGCUUGGGAUGUGGCAGGGGGAAGGAAAAUGGUGACAAAGCACCCACUCUGUGCUAGGCGGUUGACCUCAUUAUGUCCUUGCCCUUCAUCCAUUUGGUAAAAGUGGGAGCAUCACUCCUAGUGUACAGAUGAGGAAACCAGGUCAGAAAUGUUCAGCAGUGGGUCCACACAGCUAGCGAAUAGUGAACCUGGCCAAGCCCAGGCCUGCGUCUGUCAUGUUGACGAUGUUGGAAUGGUCUCAACCAUCCUGGGAGUGUUCCUGGGUCCUCUCUUCAGCCCCCAUCUGCUGGCCAGCGCCGGAAAUCCCCUCAUCAUUGCUUUGCUGCUUUGGCUUAAAUCCUGGAUCCUGCCGAUGCUAAUUCAUCUGGAAGGAUGAUGCAUUAAGAUCUUAGUAACCGCUCACCCUGGUUGCAUUGAGGCCCCGUAGCUCCCCUGGGAGACUGUCUCAGUGGGAGGCAGUGUGGGGUGAUGGGCUGUCUGCAGGUGGGGAAGAGAGGAGGUGGCGCCAGAGGAUUGCAACGUGGCUCCCUCUCCAUUCUUUUCAGGUGGAGCCAGUGGUGAAUUUGGAAACAGACAAAAUACAUCCUUAGCACUUGCACAAGACCAGCCCCAUCCCCUGCCUUAGGUCAAGCUUCCCCUCACCCAGUGGCAGCUCUUGAGAACGUCCAAAUCAGCAGGGGGAAAAAAUUGCUGACGGAAACUCACAGCUAGCAAAGGCUAGCACCAGCUCUCCAGACCCCAGUGAAGAGUGCCUUUCCCCAGAAGGCCGGGCCCCAUCUUGGGUGCAGACCCCAGCAGAGCAUAAGGCUUACCAGGAGAGCCUACCUGAGGAGCCUAUUGCAGCAGAAAGUGCCCUGAAAUACAGCCCAGGGCUAAAGUCCAUAGUAAGUCAGGGCUGGCAGGCUGACCCGCUUCUCAGAGCCCUGGAGUCCUGAACUAUGAAAUGUACAUGGUCCUUCUUGCUCUGUCCACUUGUGGAAGCUGUUGGGAGGACUUCGCUUCUGGCCACUUGGAAUAACAGGCACUGGAUCUAGCUUCCUGUCUGAACAAAAAAUAGAACAUACGAAACCGCAAUUUUCAAGACAUUGGGCAUCAGUAAGUGAAGUGCUGUGAUCCCCGAGGGAAGGGAAACAAGUAAGGCCUGACACUGGGCUUCUGGGCCUCAGCAUGAUUGAAGCCUGGGGAGAAGGGCCAGUACAGGGAGGAAAGCAAGAUCCUGGACCUCAUGCAACGAAAAGUGUCCCAGAAGUACAUGCAUAUAUUCCUGCUAUAUGGUUAAGUUUUUACCAUAAAUGAUGUUGAAUUGUGUCAAUUGAGUUAAUGUUUUUUGAGAUAAUCAUAUGAUUUCACAGAUGUUGGAAUAUCAAACUAUCUUUUUAUUCCUAGAUAAAUCCCUGAGUCAUAGUGUAUUGUUCUUUUUGUAUGUCAUUGAAUGUAGUUUGCUCAUAUUUUAAAAGUGUUUUUGCCCCCAUGAAGAGUAUUGAUCUGUAGGUUUCUAUUUUAAUAUUUUUUCCUGGUUUUGGCUUCAAGAUAAGUUGGCUUCAUGAGUUGUGAAGGGUUUUCUCUUUCUGUUUUCUGAAGGAGUUUGAUAGAUUUGGUAAUUUUUUUAUAACUUAAAAAUUUCUAAUUUUUAAAAAUAGAAUUUACCAGGAAAACUUUUGGAACAGAUACUUUCUUUGUAGGAAAAUUAUGACUAUAAAUUCAGUUUGCUUAGGAGAUAUAGGAUUAUUCAGUCUUUCCAUUCCUUCUUAAUGAGUUUUGGUAGCUUAUACCCUUCAAGGAAUUUGUGUAUUUUCUCUAAACCCUUGAAUUUAUGGUGUGAAAUUGUUUAUAUUGUUUAUUUUUACCAUACCCUUUUGUCUUUAAAUUCCUUUUUAUGAAAGCUACUUUACUUGAUAUCAAUGUAGUUAAUAGAACUUUCUUUUCCAAAAUUAAACAAUGAUUGUGUUACUUUUUAUUGAACUUUAUCAACAAUAGAACAUUUUUUUACUGCUACCUUUAAAAAAUUUAAAUAUAAUCUAUAUAAUCUACCUAUGUUAGUUCCAGGUGUACAACAUAGUAACCUGGUACUUAUAUACAUUCCGAUAUAUAAUGGUCAUCACAAUAAACCCAGUUACCACCUGUCAUCUGCAGUAUCAUUGACUUUAUAGCCAUGCUGAAUAGAACCUUCUUGAAGUUGGUGUUUGGGUGGUAUAUUUUAUUCUACCCUUUAUUUUUAACCUGUCUACAUCUGUGUAUUUAAAUGUGUAUCUUACAGACAGUGUGUAUUUUGGUCUUGCUUUUUUAAAUCUAGUCUGUCAAUCUUGGGCCUUUGAAUUGGAAUGGUCAUUGGUAGAUUGGGUUCAAAUAUAUCAUCUUGCUAUUUGUUUUCUAUUUUUUCCAUUUUUUCCUUGUUUCACUUUUUUCCCUGUUUUGUUUUGUAGUCACUGCUAUACUUUUUAGAAUUCCAUUCUGCCUUCUCUGUAAGCUUAUUUGCUAUACCUCUGUUUUACAUUUUUAGUGAUUGCUUUAGAAUUCAUAAUAUACAUGUUUAACUUAUCAAAGUCUGCUGCUGCUGCUAAGUCGCUUCACUUGUGUCCGACUCUGUGCGACCCCAUAGAUGGCAGCCCACCAGGCUUCCCCGUCCCUGGGAUUCUCCAGGCAAGAACACUGGAGUGGGUUGCCAUUUCCUUCUCCAGUGCAUAAAAGUGAAAAGUGAAAGUGAAGUCGCUCAGUCGUAUCAAAGUCUACUUUCUAAUAAUAUAAUACCACUUUAUGUACAAUGUAAAAACCUUCCAACAAUGUAAUUCCUUUUCCCUUCCUGUCCCUUGUGCUAGUGUUUUUAUAUAUUCUAUUUACACAUACAUUAUAAACUCCACAGUAUACUGUUAUUUUUAUAUUAGGUAGUCAGCUACAUUUAAAAAUAGUAAAUGAGAAAAUGUACAUUUUAAUCUACCCACAUAAGAGCAUUGCCAAUACUCUUCAUUUGCUUGUAUAGACCUGAUUUCUAUCUGAUAUUUUAGCUGGAAGAACUUUAGUUAAUAAUUCUUAUAAUUCAUGUCUGCUAGUGAUAAUCAUUUCUCUAAGUUUUUAUUUAUCUGAAAAUUCUUUAUUUUGUCUUUACUUUUGAAGGAUAUUAUCACUUGAUAUAGAAUUCUGGGCUGAUAGUCAUUUCCCCUUCCUCUUUAUCCAUUAGACAUUGUUCCAUUGUCUUCUGGCUUGCAUAGUUUCUCUUGAGUAGUCUUUGUGAUUUUUAGUUAAGUUUCCCUAUAAGCAAUAUAGGGAAACUUUUUUCUCUGACUAAAGAUUUUCGCUUUAACAUUGGUUUUCAUU
ensembl:lncRNA